UACAGGGGGGGCAAGCGUUGUUCGGAAUUACUGGGCGUAAAGGGCUCGUAGGCGGCCAACUAAGUCAGACGUGAAAUCCCUCGGCUUAACCGGGGAACUGCAUCUGAUACUGGAUGGCUUGAGUUCGGGAGAGGGAUGCGGAAUUCCAGGUGUAGCGGUGAAAUGCGUAGAUAUCUGGAGGAACACCGGUGGCGAAGGCGGCAUCCUGGACCGACACUGACGCUGAGGAGCGAAAGCCAGGGGAGCAAACGGG
rnacentral:rRNA from 1 species